GUUCCUGUCCAUAUGUGGGGAGAAAUGGCAAAUGCCUCUCCGGGUGACAGCGUCCAGAAACAAGCAGCCUCUCACCCGGUGAGUGUGACAGAAACCUCACCCACAGCCAUGGCUGACAUCUGAGAGGUUUUCCGGGCAGCCUCCUUGAAGAGGUGAAGAUGGGCUCUGAAACAUUGGUAUGAAGGAGGUGAGAAGAGGGGAAAGACCAGUACUGGGGAAAGAGCUUUGAGAACUGAAGGCAGAAGCAGCUUGAAAACUGGAUGUAGCAAAGAUGGUUAUGAAGCCAGCUCAGACCGCGCUGUCCAGCUUGCCCAGAGCCCCUCUGGGCAGAAGCUCCCUUGGUGCCAGCAUCCACCCUGAGACAAGUUAUUAAAAAUGGGGCUGUCCUGGCCAACCUUUCACCGAAAGUACCAAGGGCCACUUCAGCCCAGAGAAAGGGCAGUUCCAGAGACCGGUGGAGUUCUGAAGCCGAGCGGC
rnacentral:lncRNA from 1 species